GCUGGGCGCAGUGGGGCAUGCCUGUAAUCCCAGCAACUCAGGAGGCUGAGGCAGGAAGAUCACAAGUUCAAAGCCAGUCUCAGCAACUUAGAGAGGCCCUGUCUCAA
rnacentral:sRNA from 1 species